GACGGAGGGGGCUAGCGUUGUUCGGAAUUACUGGGCGUAAAGCGCGCGUAGGCGGCGCAUUAAGUCAGGGGUGAAAUCCCGGGGCUCAACCCCGGAACUGCCUUUGAUACUGGAAGUCUUGAGUCCGAGAGAGGUGAGUGGAACUCCGAGUGUAGAGGUGAAAUUCGUAGAUAUUCGGAAGAACACCAGUGGCGAAGGCGGCUCACUGGCUCGAUACUGACGCUGAGGUGCGAAAGUGUGGGGAGCAAACAGGAUUAGAUACCCGUGUAGUCC
rnacentral:rRNA from 1 species